AAGUCCCAUAACGAGCGCAACCCUUACCCUUAUUUGCCAGCGAUUCGGUCGGGAACUAUAAGGGGACUGCCGGUGAUAAACCGGAGGAAGGUGAGGACGACGUCAAGUCAUCAUGGCCCUUACGUGUAGGGCUACACACGUGCUACAAUGGGGAGUACAGAUAGACGCUAAAGCGCGAGCUGGUGCUAAUCUCAUAAAACUCUUCGUAGUCCGGAUUGCAGUCUGCAACUCGACUGCAUGAAGUCGGAAUCGCUAGUAAUCGCGAAUCAGCAUGUCGCGGUGAAUACGUUCUCGGGUCUU
rnacentral:rRNA from 1 species